UCCUUUUGGGAAGCUGGACAAUAAACA
rnacentral:piRNA from 1 species